rnacentral:rRNA from 1 species
CCCGUCCCGCCGCCCCCGCCCGGGCACAAGCGGUGGAGCAUGUGGUUUAAUUCGAUGCAACGCGAAGAACCUUACCUGGUCUUGACAUAUCUAGAAUCCUGCAGAGAUGCGGGAGUGCCUUCGGGAAUUAGAAUACAGGUGCUGCAUGGCUGUCGUCAGCUCGUGUCGUGAGAUGUUGGGUUAAGUCCCGCAACGAGCGCAACCCUUGUCCUUAGUUACCAGCGGGUUAAGCCGGGAACUCUAAGGAUACUGCCAGUGACAAACUGGAGGAAGGCGGGGACGACGUCAAGUCAUCAUGGCCCUUACGACCAGGGCUACACACGUGCUACAAUGGUAGGUACAGAGGGCAGCUACACAGCGAUGUGAUGCGAAUCUCAAAAA